UCCCGUCGUGCGGGCCAGCUCCGACCCCUGCGGGUCGGAGCCCCCGAGGCCGCGGGCAAGGUUCAGGCCUAGCAGCGGCCCUGGAGAGCGGUUCCGGGGGCCCGGGCCAGCUGCCUUCCUCCCCCGCCCCUCCCUCAGCGCGGGCCGGAGCCCAGCGCCUGGCCGGACGGAGGGAGCAAGGGGCCUGGAGUCCCUUUCGCGCCGGAGCGAGGAGGACCGCGCGAAAUCUGGAACACUUCCCCAAAAAUGGUCCGGGGAAAGAAGUCUCUGUGUCCCUGCAUACCUCGAUUAUUCCACUCCCAAUACCGGAUCCCCUCUUGGGAGCUACAGGUAGUGCUGUGGACAGAGUUGGCUCUUUUCCCACCAUCACUUGAGGCCAACCCAGGCUUCUCACAAGAUGAGGGCUGCGCGUGUGGCUGUCUGCAGGUGAGGUUAAUCCCGAAUCUUAGAGAUCUUCCAUCUCCAGAGUUGGGAUGGAAACAUACGCCAAACUGCACCUUUAUAUAUUAGAGAAAAAGGCGGAGCAGGUUUGCUUUUUCUAUAGACAGCCAAGAAUCUGCUGCGAUGCCUGUAAAACUUCAAAGUCUUUUGGAGUUGGAAGUGCUUCCAGAACACAGUUGAUUUCUUCUGAAAGCUGAAAGCGCGGGCAUUCUACACUUCACAUCAAACAGUAAAAAAAAGUCAUGAAAGUCGAGUUCCUUUAUGACGAUGUGGUUUUAUACACAGAUACAUGUGUAAGGGAAUGGUUGUGAAAGAAAACAGUGGUAUGCCUUUUUGGGGACCCUGUAAGCAAAAGCUUAAAACCUUUACCAUCUCGUGUGAGAGAGAGAUGUACCUGUAACAGUUAACUGAAAGAUUAGAACAUUGUGCAACCCAGCGUCUGUGAUGAUGGAAAUGUUCUCCAGUUGAGCGGCUGAAAUGUGGCUAGUGCCACUGAAGAACUGAAAUUUAAACUUUUAGUAUUUGGGUCCUUUGCUUAACAUAUAGACAGAUUAUUGCUUUUCAUUGCUAGCAGCAUGAAAGCCAGCAUAGGAAGAUAAGCCAUACCUGAGGGACAGAAGCAGCACUUGAGAAGAUCCUAGGUGCUCAUUGACUUAUGAUGGGGUUACAGCCCUAUAAACACAAUGAUGUUUCCUGAAUUUGGUGGCAUCUUAUAGUCAUGGUCUGUCAGGCAGUUCUUGUGACAUAUUUUCAUUGCUGCAUGCAUAAACAUGAAGAUGGAUAUCAGCAGCUUGGAGGAAAAUAUAGGAGGUAGUAGAAGAGCACUUCAAGAGAUACUUGAGUAAUAAAUAUCUCCAAUAUGUUAUAUCAUAAAAACCCAGUAAUGAUUAUAAGUAAAAAAAAAUGAUUUGGAAGUGUUAGUCUUCGUGAGAAAUUUUAGAAAUUUCUAAACCUUUUCUUUGGUUUUGUCAUGAAAUGUGUAUACAAGAAUAAAAUAAAAAUGUCUAAAAUCUAGAAAUACUUCUUUUAAUAAAAAUUAAAAUUUAAUAAAGUACAUACUAGUUAAUUGCUGGAUUUUUUUCAUUUUUCUUUGUGAUAUGGAAAAUAAUAAUUCUUACAAUUGAUAGUUAGAUUCAAUGAAAUAGAGCAGUGAAAUCGACCACCCCAUCUCCACCAUCUGUUUCCAAAAUAUAUUUUUAUGAUUGAAGAAAUACUAUUUAUUGAUCCCUGGCAAGCUUCUUUUGUAUUUGAGCUAUAAUACUUUAGGGUAUUUCAGGUUUUCUUGGCAGUAGCAAAUCUUAAAUAAUUUUUGAAUUAAUGGUAUUUAUUAACAACAUCUCCAUUACU